rnacentral:rRNA from 1 species
ACCCGCACAAGCGGUGGAUGAUGUGGUUUAAUUCGAUGCAACGCGAAAACCUUACCCACCUUUGACAUGUACGGAAUCCUUUAGAGAUAGAGGAGUGCUCGAAAGAGAGCCGUAACACAGGUGCUGCAUGGCUGUCGUCAGCUCGUGUCGUGAGAUGUUGGGUUAAGUCCCGCAACGAGCGCAACCCUUGUCAUUAGUUGCUACAUUCAGUUGGGCACUCUAAUGAGACUGCCGGUGACAAACCGGAGGAAGGUGGGGAUGACGUCAAGUCCUCAUGGCCCUUAUGGGUAGGGCUUCACACGUCAUACAAUGGUCGGUACAGAGGGUUGCCAAGCCGCGAGGUGGAGCCAAUCCCAGAAAGCCGAUCGUAGUCCGGAUUGUUCUCUGCAACUCGAGAGCAUGAAGUCGGAAUCGCUAGUAAUCGCGGAUCAGCAUGUCGCGGUGAAUACGUUCCCGGGUCUU